UACGGAGGGAGCUAGCGUUGUUUGGAAUUACUGGGCGUAAAGCGUGCGUAGGCGGCUUUGUAAGUUAGAGGUGAAAGCCCGGAGCUCAACUCCGGAAUUGCCUUUAAGACUGCAUCGCUUGAAUCUGGGAGAGGUGAGUGGAAUUCCGAGUGUAGAGGUGAGAUUCGUAGAUAUGCGGAAGAACACCAGUGGCGAAGGCGGCUCACUGGACCGGCAUUGACGCUGAGGUACGAAAGCGUGGGGAGCAAACAGG
rnacentral:rRNA from 1 species